rnacentral:rRNA from 1 species
GAUGAACGCUGGCGGCGUGCCUAAUACAUGCAAGUCGAGCGAAUGGAUUGAGAGCUUGCUCUCAAGAAGUUAGCGGCGGACGGGUGAGUAACACGUGGGUAACCUGCCCAUAAGACUGGGAUAACUCCGGGAAACCGGGGCUAAUACCGGAUAACAUUUUGAACUGCAUGGUUCGAAAUUGAAAGGCGGCUUCGGCUGUCACUUAUGGAUGGACCCGCGUCGCAUUAGCUAGUUGGUGAGGUAACGGCUCACCAAGGCAACGAUGCGUAGCCGACCUGAGAGGGUGAUCGGCCACACUGGGACUGAGACACGGCCCAGACUCCUACGGGAGGCAGCAGUAGGGAAUCUUCCGCAAUGGACGAAAGUCUGACGGAGCAACGCCGCGUGAGUGAUGAAGGCUUUCGGGUCGUAAAACUCUGUUGUUAGGGAAGAACAAGUGCUAGUUGAAUAAGCUGGCACCUUGACGGUACCUAACCAGAAAGCCACGGCUAACUACGUGCCAGCCGCCGCAGUAAAAC